CAAGAGAGUUGGUCAACUUAGUUAACUAAGUUAACGGGAGAUAUGAUCUGACGUGAUUGUUAUAUCCAUAGUGAGUCCAUGGAUUGUCUGAUUACUAUGUUUCGUCCAGGAUUCACAAUCUCCAGCCCUAACGGGAAACCUUGGCUCGACUUCCCAAUGCGGAAUGUAUCUCCGUGAUUAACCUGUCUAGCAACGCUGAUUCUCAGUAUUGCUAGGGCCAGCGGGCUGGUUGUUGUGAUUUGUCUCGAUUGUGGUGAUGAUGAGGGUGGAGAACUGAGAAGGUCUUGGCAAGUGAGCAGCAGGCUGAGAGAGGCAAACGCCGUUGUUUAAAAAAAAAAGAAAGAAAAGAAAAAGAAAACAAAAAGAAGCAAGAAAGAAAAAGAAAAAAAUGGAAAACAGCCAACGAACAUGCAAAGAAAAGACGAAGAACAAGAGACCGAAGACCGAAGCGUGCGCCGCGAGGGGUGUCGUCCAAGCCACCAGGUCUUGAUUGC
rnacentral:sRNA from 1 species